UACGUAGGGGGCAAGCGUUGUCCGGAAUCAUUGGGCGUAAAGAGCGCGUAGGCGGCCUAAUUCCGCUGUGAAAGUCAAGGGCUCAACCCUUGGAUGCCGGUGGAUACUGCAGGGCUAGAGUCCGGAAGAGGCGAGUGGAAUUCCUGGUGUAGCGGUGAAAUGCGCAGAUAUCAGGAGGAACACCGAUGGCGAAGGCAGCUCGCUGGGACGGUACUGACGCUGAGGCGCGAAAGCGUGGGGAGCAAACAGG
rnacentral:rRNA from 1 species